rnacentral:misc_RNA from 1 species
GUAGGUGAACCUGCGGAAGGAUCAUUUUAAUAUCAAAUAUAGGAAGAGAGGGUCUUCCAACACCUGUGAACUGUUAACAUAUAUAACGUGUAGCAAUGAUUAUCGUAAUUUAUUAUAUGCUCGUUUCGAAAGGAACUUGUAUGAGAAACAAAGAUACAACUUUUGACAAUGGAUCUCUUGGCUCUU